rnacentral:rRNA from 1 species
UACGUAGGGACCAAGCGUUGUUCGGAUUUACUGGGCGUAAAGGGCGCGUAGGCGGCGUGUUAAGUCACUUGUGAAAUCUCUAAGCUUAACUUAGAACGGUCAAGUGAUACUGAUGUGCUAGAGUGCAGAAGGGGCAACCGGAAUUCUUGGUGUAGCGGUGAAAUGCGUAGAUAUCAAGAGGAACACCUGAGGUGAAGACGGGUUGCUGGGCUGACACUGACGCUGAGGCGCGAAAGCUAGGGUAACAAACGGG